rnacentral:rRNA from 1 species
AGUGAACGCUGGCGGUAGGCCUAACACAUGCAAGUCGAACGGCAGCACAGUAAGAGCUUGCUCUUACGGGUGGCGAGUGGCGGACGGGUGAGGAAUACAUCGGAAUCUACUUUUUCGUGGGGGAUAACGUAGGGAAACUUACGCUAAUACCGCAUACGACCUACGGGUGAAAGCAGGGGAUCUUCGGACCUUGCGCGAUUGAAUGAGCCGAUGUCGGAUUAGCUAGUUGGCGGGGUAAAGGCCCACCAAGGCGACGAUCCGUAGCUGGUCUGAGAGGAUGAUCGGCCACACCGGAACUGAGACACGGUCCAGACUCCUACGGGAGGCAGCAGUGGGGAAUAUUGGACAAUGGGCGCAAGCCUGAUCCAGCCAUACCGCGUGAGUGAAGAAGGCCUUCGGGUUGUAAAGCCCUUUUGUUGGGAAAGAAAAGCAGCAGGUUAAUACCCCGCUGUUCUGACGGUACCCAAAGAAUAAGCACCGGCUAACUUCGUG